CAAAAUUCUGCACAGCAGACGAGGAUGUCGCAACUAGGAGUGAUCCUGCUGCUUGAAAUGCACGUGUGUUAGUAUCCUCAUAUAUCCAGUACAUAAGGUGAACGCCUGCCAAAUGCAGUCCAAUUAACUAGCUGUGUGAUUUGAGGCAAGCAACUUCAUCUCAGCAGGUCUCAGUUUCCAAAUCCAUAAAAUGCACACUGCAUCGUGCUCCACUCUGACCAGCAAGCUCCUACACUGGGCCACCAAGUAACCUGCAUAAACACGCCAGGCAGCUCUGCUCCUACGCCAUUGCAAAGACACAGCUCCUCUGUGAAGCCAUCCCUGACUUUGUCAGGCUGACUUAGGCCAUAUCUUUCUCUAGGCUCACCGUGAACACUAUGGUAAAAGCACUGAGAACUUUUUGGAGAAUCUAGCAAACAAGCACUACUGGGCCUCUUCCCUUCACUCAAGAAUCACUCUCCGGCAAUCUUCAGAGGCAGCAUAAGAAGAGGUGACUGAGAACGAGGUCCAGCCUGCGUCUGACUUCCUCCCCCACUCGCCGCAUUAUUAGUGAUCUGUCUGGAGAGCUGGCUGAAGGCUCAGAGCCUGGGUGUGGUUCCUUGGAGUCAGGCAAGGGACAGAAGUCCUUACUAGAGAUGGGAGAGAGAAACUGAGCUGGAGGACAGAGCCAAACCCAAAACUGGGCUAGAGAGGUGAGGUGCAAAACUCAUGGAGAAGUCAGGUGGAAAACAAUUUGGAGGAGCCCAGGGAAGAGGAUUUCUAGAGGGGACUCGUCUCUGAGCGCUCACCCUUUGGGAACAGCGGGGAAGGAGGAGGGACUCACAGGCCACACCUGUCAACCAGACAGAGUUGCCUUUUCCAGCGCAGGUCAGCCUCUUAUCUCUCCAUUCCUCUGGACCUGGCCAGUUGUACCUGACCCCACCUCCACUCUCCAUAGGGAAAGCCCCCUUGUUGGGGCCUCCCUGCCAUUGUCCAGCUUCAGGCCUGCAAAAGCCCCAAGUUCUAACAGAGAGCUGGGAGGCCCCAGCCCACAUGUCAUCAUAAGCCUGACCACAGAGUGCUAAGUGAAACCAACACUUAGC
rnacentral:lncRNA from 1 species